rnacentral:lncRNA from 1 species
UCGGUAACACUUACACACACUUGGCUGCUAAAUGAAUGUGUUGUCACACCAUAACUGUUUCGUUCUUGUGAAAGUAUUGCCAGCAUCAACUAGUCUAACGGUCAUCGACCAAUCAAAUUCAAGGGUCAUGUCUGUGUUCUCCCACAGAAAAUGAUCGAACACGAACAACAUGCUGCUUCAGACACUGAUCCUCCCGGUGGAAGUGCACCUUCUUUCCCUCCUUUGGAAGAUUAUUAAGGACAUCUAUUCUUUCAUUUCCUUACCCAAUAGAAGAGAGUUUGAGUUGUGCUUUCUCCAAGAAGCCCCCUUGCAAUGGUUUUUGGAAAUUCAUCAUGCCAACUUAAAUCAUCCUAAGUGGAAGGAAUGGUCUGUAGAAUCUCCAGUGCAGCUAGAAGUCACAACAAUUGUGGUGAAAUUUUGGACAGGAAGAGUUCCAGACCAGGAUAUUGAACUCUACCUACAAAGGUACUGUCUUACAACCUCCUGUUAAGCCGGUUGAUAAAUUCGGCUUAUGGUAUGAAGUGAGAAAAUUCAAGGUACGAAUGCGGAGAGAUGAAGCAGGUCAUAUUGUUUCCAUCCCUAACUCCAUCUCUCUGGGCCCUUUUAAUGGGCGUAUCAUAUAUCCUGGACAGGCAAACAGAUGUUUCGUCACUAGACCAUCAAGCAAGAGACUGCCUUACCUUUAAGUGCUGCAAGUGCGGGGAGUUGGGUCAUAAAGCUAAAGAAUGUCAAAAUGACAGCGAGUGUUCCCUGUGUGGACCAAAGGGACCUCCUCAGCGCUGCCAGAAGCCUUAAAUUCAACCUCGCUACAAAAAAUGCUCACAUUUGGAAAUUAAUCCUUAACAAAUCCACUUGUGGUCUCUGAAGCUAUUUCAGGACAAGAACCUAGCAGUCGUACCUCAACAAAUCUUCCUGGUGCAACAGAGUCGCAGACAGACAACAACAACAUAGAGGAGGAACUGACGCCCCCAACACAACAUGAAGAGAUAACAGCAUGAAGUAGAGAAGAGCCAGAGGAUCAGUUCUUGUCAGAAACCUCUGAGGUGGAAUGCGAGAGUGAAGACGAGGAAGAAGUUUUAUCAGAAAGCUACAUAAGCGCAAGUGGUAGUGAA